GGUGGAUCUAUCAGUAGGAUUGGAAAGUCCUCGCCGUCUGAAUGAGGAGGAGGACAAGAUUAAUAGCACUUUAUAAGUCCUUGAAUUCAUAAAAGUCUCAACUGUAAUGGAUAACGGAGUUCUGAUGUACGAGGCAUUCGGUGGAAGCUGCGAUGACAUGCAAAUAACGACAAAAUAUGUUGUCCAUCAGUGGCGGGAUUCCAAUUUUUUUCCUUACUGGUUCUAUGAGAGUGCACUUCCCGCACAAUCCUAACGCAUAUUUCAUGUGUGUGCCCCAGCACUCAAAGACCACCGUCGAUGUCAGAACUGGUCAGCCGAGCUGUUUUUUUAGGGUUAACUUUUUAGCUCAAGUGAUCUGCGUG